rnacentral:rRNA from 1 species
UACGUAGGGUGCGAGCGUUAAUCGGAAUUACUGGGCGUAAAGGGCGCGUAGGCGGUUUGGUUAGUUAGGCGUGAAAUUCCUGGGCUCAACCUGGGGACUGCGCUUAAUACAGCCAGGCUAGAGUGUGGAAGAGGGUCGUGGAAUUCCCAGUGUAGAGGUGAAAUUCGUAGAUAUUGGGAAGAACACCGGUGGCGAAGGCGGCGACCUGGUCCAUUACUGACGCUGAGGCGCGAAAGCGUGGGGAGCAAACAGG